AGGUCGCCAUGGCUGUUACUGGCUCCCUUGCUGUCCCCAGCCAUCCCCCAGGUCACCUCCCCACCCUGCUGCCUGUGCCCUGAAGGUGUGCACAGGUUCCAGUGGAUCAGAAACCUCGUUCCAGAGUUUGGCGUCUCCAGCUCUCAUGUCAAAGUGCUUUCUUCCCCUGCAGAGUUCUUCGAGCUUAUGAAGGGGCAGAUAAAAGUAGCCAAGAGGAGGGUUGUGAUGGCAUCUCUCUACCUGGGGACAGGUCCUUUGGAACAGGAGCUGGUGGAUUGCCUGGAAAAUACUCUAGAAAAGUCUCUUCAAGCAAAGCUUCCUUCUGACCUCAAGGUCUCCAUUCUCCUGGACUUCACCCGCGGCUCACGAGGUAGG